UACGAAGGGGACUAGCGUUGUUCGGAAUUACUGGGCGUAAAGGGCGCGUAGGCGGCCGUGUCAGUCAGGCGUGAAAGCCCCGGGCUCAACCUGGGAACUGCGCUUGAUACUGCACGGCUUGAGUUCCGGAGAGGAUGGUGGAAUUCCCAGUGUAGAGGUGAAAUUCGUAGAUAUUGGGAAGAACACCGGUGGCGAAGGCGGCCACUCUGGCCGGACGACGACGCUGAGGCGCGAAAGCGUGGGGAGCAAACAGG
rnacentral:rRNA from 1 species